rnacentral:rRNA from 1 species
AAAACUCAAAUGAAUUGACGGGGGCCCGCACAAGCGGUGGAGCAUGUGGUUUAAUUCGAUGCAACGCGAAGAACCUUACCUGGUCUUGACAUCCACAGAACUUUCCAGAGAUGGAUUGGUGCCUUCGGGAACUGUGAGACAGGUGCUGCAUGGCUGUCGUCAGCUCGUGUUGUGAAAUGUUGGGUUAAGUCCCGCAACGAGCGCAACCCUUAUCCUUUGUUGCCAGCGGUUAGGCCGGGAACUCAAAGGAGAUUGCCAGUGAUAAACUGGAGGAAGGUGGGGAUGACGUCAAGUCAUCAUGGCCCUUACGACCAGGGCUACACACGUGCUACAAUGGCGCAUACAAAGAGAAGCGACCUUGCGAGAGCAAGCGGACCUCAUAAAGUGCGUCGUAGUCCGGAUUGGAGUCUGCAACUCGACUCCAUGAAGUCGGAAUCGCUAGUAAUCGUAGAUCAGAAUGCUACGGUGAAUACGUUCCCGGGCCUUGUACACACCGCCCGUCACACCAUGGGAGUGGGUUGCAAAAGAAGUAGGUAGCU